UACGUAGGUGGCAAGCGUUGUCCGGAUUCAUUGGGCGUAAAGAGCGUGUAGGCGGCCAGGUAGGUCCGUUGUGAAAACUCGAGGCUCAACCUCGAGACGCCGAUGGAAACCAUCUGGCUAGAGUCCGGAAGAGGAGAGUGGAAUUCCCGGUGUAGCGGUGAAAUGCGCAGAUAUCGGGAAGAACACCCGUGGCUAAGGCGGCUCUCUAGUACGGUACUGACGCUGAGACGCGAAAGCGUGGGGAGCGAACAGG
rnacentral:rRNA from 1 species